rnacentral:rRNA from 1 species
GACGAACGCUGGCGGCGUGCUUAACACAUGCAAGUCGAACGGAAAGGCCUCUUUCGGGGGGUACUCGAGUGGCGAACGGGUGAGUAACACGUGAGUAGCCUGCCCUUGACUUUGGGAUAACUUCAGGAAACUGGGGCUAAUACCGGAUAGGAGCUCCUGCUGCAUGGUGGGGGUUGGAGAGUUUCGGCGGUUGGGGAUGGACUCGCGGCUUAUCAGCUUGUUGGUGGGGUAGUGGCUUACCAAGGCUUUGUCGGGUAGCCGGACUGGGGGGGUGACCGGCCCCCUUGGGGCUGAGGUACGGCCCAGACUCCUACGGGAGGCAGCAGUGGGGAAUAUUGCACGAUCGGUGGCAGCCUGAUGCAGCAACGCCGUGUGCGGGAUGACGGCCUUAGGGUUGUAAACCGCGUUCGCUCAUGACGAAGCUUUGUGUGACGGUAGUGGGUAAAGAAGCACCGGCUAACUACGUG